GUUGGUGUAGCUCAGUGGGAGAGUGCAUGCUUUGUAUGUAUGAUGUCCUUGGUUCAAUCCCCGUUGCAAAUG